UGAGUAACACGUAUCCAACCUGCCGUCUACUCUUGGACAGCCUUCUGAAAGGAAGAUUAAUACAAGAUGGCAUCAUGAGUCCGCAUGUUCACAUGAUUAAAGGUAUUCCGGUAGACGAUGGGGAUGCGUUCCAUUGAUAGUAGGCGGGGUAACGGCCCACCUAGUCUUCGAUGGAUAGGGGUUCUGAGAGGAAGGUCCCCCACAUUGGAACUGAGACACGGUCCAA
rnacentral:rRNA from 1 species